AUUGAGUCUGUGCAGGCAGAGUCCAGGGCGUGCAGGUAUAAACGGUCCUGGUUCUGCUUUUGCAGAAAGGGCGCCGCUGCUGCUCUGGUUUUACAUCUUCAGUUGCUUGGGGACUCUCCUGCUUCUCUUCGGCCGACUCCUACAAGAAGCUGCACAGCCCUCCGGAUCCCGGUGGUCAAGGGAACUAGAUGCCUGGAAAGAGGUGUGGACCAAGACCAGAGAGCAAUACUGAGAGCACAACAAGCCUGACAAGCCUGAGAAGGGAGAGACCUCUAUCUAGUCAGGCUGUGUGAAGCUGAGGAACAAACCACAAAAUCCAUACGGGGGUCUGUCUUCCAGACCAGGGCACAGCAGACUUCUUCUGUAAAGGCC
rnacentral:lncRNA from 1 species